rnacentral:rRNA from 1 species
GAGUUUGAUCCUGGCUCAGGACGAACGCUGACGGUGUGCUUUAGACAUGCAAGUCGAACGAGAAAGCCCUUCGGGGUGAGUAAAGUGGCGAACGGGUGAGUAACACGUGGGCAAUCUGCCCCUCGCAGGGGGAUAACCGGGGGAAACCCUGGCUAAUACCCCGUACGCUUAUGGAGCCGCAUGGUUCCGUAAGGAGAGGUAGCUUCGGCUAUCCGGCGAGGGAUGAGCCCGCGGUACAUUAGCUAGUUGGUGGGGUAACGGCCCACCAAGGCGACGAUGUAUAGCUGGUCUGAGAGGAUGAUCAGCCACACUGGGACUGAGACACGGCCCAGACUCCUACGGGAGGCAGCAGUCGGGAAUCUUGCGCAAUGGGCGAAAGCCUGACGCAGCAACACCGUGUGAGUGAUGAAGGCCUUCGGGUCGUAAAGCUCUGUUGUUGGGGACGAAGGGCAAGGGGUUAAUAGCCCCGAGCUUGACGGUACCCUUCGAGGAAGCCCCGGCUAACUACGUGCCAGCAGCCGCGGUAAUACGUAGGGGGCGAGCGUUGUCCGGAAUUAUUGGGCGUAAAGAGCGUGUAGGCGGUUCGGUAAGUCUGCUGUGAAAACCCAGGGCUCAACCCUGGGCGUGCAGUGGAUACUGCCGGGCUAGAGGGUGGUAGAGGCGAGUGGAAUUCCCAGUGUAGCGGUGAAAUGCGCAGAUAUUGGGAGGAACACCAGUAGCGAAGGCGGCUCGCUGGGCCAUACCUGACGCUGAGACGCGAAAGCUAGGGGAGCGAACAGGAUUAGAUACCCUGGUAGUCCUAGCUGUAAACGAUGAACACUANGUGUGGGCGGAGUCGAAUCUGUCUGUGCCGAANCCANCGCGAUAAGUGUUCCNCCUGGGGAGUACGGCCCAANGCUAAACUCAAAGAAUUGACGGGGGCCCCACAACCACNGAACAUGUUNUUUAUUCAUGCACNCGAAAACCUUACUGNACUUACUGUGUNCANCNCCGNAACUGUGACUNCAGGUGCCCCAAUCUCUGCUUCUCNCUNUUCNGAAUUUGUUAAUCCCACACCACCC